rnacentral:rRNA from 1 species
AUGAACGCUAGCGGGAGGCCUAACACAUGCAAGCCGAGCGGUAGAGUCUCUUCGGAGACUUGAGAGCGGCGCACGGGUGCGGAACACGUGUGCAACCUGCCUUUAUCUGGGGGAUAGCCUUUCGAAGGGAAGAUUAAUACCCCAUAAUAUACUUGAUGGCAUCAUCUGGUAUUGAAAACUCCGGUGGAUAGAGAUGGGCACGCGCAAGAUUAGAUAGUUGGUGAGGUAACGGCUCCCCAAGUCAGCGAUCUUUAGGGGGCCGGAGAGGGUGAUCCCCCACACUGGUACUGGGACACGGACCAGACUCCUACGGGAGGCAGCAGUGAGGAAUAUUGGACAAUGGGUGAGAGCCUGAUCCAGCCAUCCCGCGUGAAGGACGACGGCCCUAUGGGUUGUAAACUUCUUUUGUAUAGGGAUAAACCUAGAUACGUGUAUCUAGCUGAAGGUACUAUACGAAUAAGCACCGGCUAACUCCGUG